rnacentral:rRNA from 1 species
AACGUAGGAGGCAAGCGUUAUCCGGAGUUACUGGGCGUAAAGCGCGUGUAGGUGGAUUGGUAAGUUACUUAUAAAAGCUCCUGGCUAAACUAGGAGAGGUUGGGUGAUACUGCCAGUCUUGAAUAGAGGAGAGGUUGACGGAAUUCCGCGUGUAGUGGUGAAAUUCGUAGAUAUUCGCAAGAACACCAGUGGCGAAGGCGGCUCACUGGCCCGGUACUGACGCUGAGGUGCGAAAGCGUGGGGAGCAAACAGG